AUGCUCUGUAACUUCCACAUAUUAUUAUUUAAAGAAUUUAUUCCUCGGGCAAUUCUAGGUAGCACAAUGGAUAGAACAGCAAGUCUAGAGUCUGGAGGACUUGGGUUCAAAUGUGAUCUCAGACAGUUCCUAACUAUGAUAUUGGGCCAUCAGGUGGGGCCAUGCAUGGAAAUGGAAUCAAGAAGAUGAGGUUCAAAUCCUGCUUCAGAUGCCUGGGCAAGUCACAGAACUUCUCUCAGACUCAAUUUCCUCAUUUGUAAAAUGGAGAUGAUGGUAGCAUCUACUUCAUAGGGUUGUUGUGGGGACCAAAUGGUAUAAAAUGCUUUGAAAACCUUAAUGAGCUAUAUUCCUGCUCAUUAUUAGUUUUAUCUUUAUCAAACAUUCCUCAUAAGACCUGGC
rnacentral:lncRNA from 1 species